CAUAAUUAUCUGGACUAUUAACUUUCUUCCAUAUAACUUCGAAAACAGACAAUAAUCUAUUUCAUUGGAUGAGAUUGGGCUCACGGAUUUUUUAAUGGAUUGGACAAGAAAUAUAGAAAAAUAAUGAAAAAUAUAAACAGUUACAAUAGAAAUGAGCGCAAAACAAGAUAAACAGAAUACAACAAGGCCUAAAUGGUCAGAUAUCUUGGUUUUUAUGAUCAUCAACAGGUCCUGCAGGUCUAUACUGAAGAGGAAUUUUAAUUGUUAAUACUUUUCUACAUAAC